AUUUAAAUAAUUUAGGUAGUAAAUAUUUAUAUUUAAACCUAUAUAAAAUGGCGGCAUUUCAUCUUAUUAAAGGAACAUGUUAUUUGAUCGAUACUACACGAUAAUUUUCACUUAUUUCAAAAUUUUAUAUACCGCCAUCUUAAAUUAAUUUUUAUACAAUUUUAAACAAAAAUUCUUUAAUGGUAGGUAAAGGUGUAAACUAAAAAUUAGAUUUAAUGUGUUACAUUAAAAAUAAUUUAAGGCCUUAAUUAUAAAUUUAUAUCAAAAUAGGAUUUAAAAGUAGUAUUUAAAUAAUAUCUAAAUCUGAAUAAGAAAAUAAAUGUGC
rnacentral:rRNA from 2 species